AUGCAAGUCGAGGGGCAGCAUGAUUGAAGCUUGCUUCAAUUGAUGGCGACCGGCGCACGGGUGAGUAACGCGUAUCCAACCUUCCGUACACUCAGGGAUAGCCUUUCGAAAGAAAGAUCAAUACCUGAUGGUAUGAUGAGAUUGCAUGAUAGCAUCAUUAAAGAUUUAUCGGUGUACGAUGGGGAUGCGUUCCAUUAGGUAGUAGGCGGGGUAACGGCCCACCUAGCCUACGAUGGAUAGGGGUUCUGAGAGGAAGGUCCCCCACAUUGGAACUGAGACACGGUCCAAACUCCUACGGGAGGCAGCAGUGAGGAAUAUUGGUCAAUGGACGAGAGUCUGAACCAGCCAAGUAGCGUGAAGGAUGAAGGUCUUACGGAUUGUAAACUUCUUUUAUAAGGGAAUAAAACCUCCCACGUGUGGGAGCUUGUAUGUACCUUAUGAAUAAGCAUCGGCUAACUCCGUGCCAGCAGCCGCGGUAAUACGGAGGAUGCGAGCGUUAUCCGGAUUUAUUGGGUUUAAAGGGAGCGCAGACGGGUCGUUAAGUCAGCUGUGAAAGUUUGGGGCUCAA
rnacentral:rRNA from 1 species